GGGAGUGUAGCUCAGUGGUAGAGCAUAUGCUUAGCAAGCAUGAGGCCCUGGGUUCAAUCCCCAGCACCCCCCA
rnacentral:tRNA from 1 species